CCUACGGGAGGCAGCAGUGAGGAAUAUUGGUCAAUGGCCGCAGGGCUGAACCAGCCAAGUCGCGUGAGGGAUGACGGUCCUAUGGAUUGUAAACCUCUUUUGUCAGGGAGCAAAGGGCGCCACGUGGGGCGCUUUGCGAGUACCUGAAGAAAAAGCAUAGGCUAACUCCGUGCCAGCAGCCGCGGUAAUACGGAGGAUGCGAGCGUUAUCCGGAUUUAUUGGGUUUAAAGGGUGCGCAGGCGGAAUGUCAAGUCAGCGGUAAAAUUUCGGGGCUCAACCCCGUCGUGACGUUGAAACUGGCGUUCUUGAGUGAGCGAGAAGUAUGCGGAAUGCGUGGUGUAGCGGUGAAAUGCAUAGAUAUCACGCAGAACUCCGAUUGCGAAGGCAGCAUACCGGCGCUCAACUGACGCUCAUGCACGAAAGCGUGGGUAUCGAACAGGAUUAGAUACCCCAGUAGUC
rnacentral:rRNA from 1 species